GAUGAACGCUGGCGGCGUGCCUAAUACAUGCAAGUCGAGCGAAAAGACGCGGAGCUUGCUCGUCUGACGUUAGAGGCGGACGGGAGAGUAACACGUGGAUAACCUACCUAUAAGACAGGGAUAGCUUCGGGAAACAGUAGCUAAUACCGGAUAAGAUAUUGAACCGCAUGGUUCAAUAGUGAAAGACGGUUUUGCUGUCACUUGUAGAUGGAUCCGCGCCGCAUUAGCUAGUUGGUAAGGUAACGGCUUACCAAGGCAACGAUGCGUAGCCGACCUGAGAGGGUGAUCGGCCACACUGGAACUGAGACACGGUCCAGACUCCUACGGGAGGCAGCAGUAGGGAAUCUUCCGCAAUGGGCGAAAGCCUGACGGAGCAAUGCCGCGUGAGGGAUGAAGGUCUUCGGAUCGUAAACCGCUGUUAUUAGGGAAGAACAAAUGUGUAAUUAACUAGGCACGUCUUGACGGUACCUUAUCAGAAAGCCCCGGCUAACUACGUG
rnacentral:rRNA from 1 species